CGGUACGUACUGGUAUUGUUGGUUUCUCCCUUCUGACGAACCAUGAUGUCAUUUAUUUGGUGUUGUGGGGAAUCAGGACUGUUACUUUGAAAAAAUUAGAGUGUUUAAAGCAGGCUCACGCUUGAAUACAUUAGCAUGGAAUAAUGAAAUAGGACGUUUGAUUCUAUUUUGUUGGUUUCUAGGAUCGACGUAAUGAUUAAUAGGGAUAGUUGGGGGCAUUAGUAUUCAAUUGUCAGAGGUGAAAUUCUUGGAUUUAUUGAAGACUAACUACUGCGAAAGCAUUUGCCAAGGAUGUUUUCGUUAAUCAAGAACGAAAGUUAGGGGAUCGAAGACGAUCAGAUACCGUCGUAGUCUUAACCAUAAACUAUGCCGACUAGGGAUCGGAUGAUGUUAAUUUUUUAAUGACUC
rnacentral:rRNA from 1 species